GAUUUAAUUAUAGUUGUGAAAUAGUUAAGGAGUAUAGUUAUAAACUUUCAUAAUAAAAAAAUGUUAUAACCCUUAAAAUUGGGAGAUAGAGGGCAACAAAGAAAGAGUCAGUGUUCAUUUCUUCAGUGGGCGGUAAAUAGAUAACACAUAAAAAUUAAUAAAUCAAGAAACAGAAGUCAAGUAACAAACUUAACAGAUAUUGAAAUUAAGCUUGUAAUCACACUACAAAUCAGUUAACAAUGUAACAAUGUAUUGCUAUUUUAUUGCAGGCAAGUAACAAAAAGAUUUACUGUUCAUCUGGUGCCUUUGCAGCCUUUGUAUCUUUAAAAAUCCCACCUUCGUGCAUCAUAUUUAUAAUAUUGAAAACAUUGCAGAUGUGUUGUAUUUACCUAGUUAGAUAAUGAUACUUUUAUUUAUAAAGUAACAGUCCAGGACCACAUAGUUAUUA
rnacentral:lncRNA from 1 species